AGUCUGUGAUGACUAUACUGUCUGUGUAGGUAUAUAAACGAUAAAACCUAACGACUAGAACUCUAGUUGAUGGCGAAACACUCCUCUAAGUGAAGUUCAUAUGAGAAGUGAUUUGUAACGUGCCACAGAGACGAGCACUAUAGAAAUGUAGUGUAUGAAACGCGGUAAACCCCUCAGGCA
rnacentral:RNase_P_RNA from 1 species